UGGGAGUUGUAGUUUGCUGCAUUUUUCAGUGUUUCCCUGUCAUGGCUGCCUCCAGUUAGGGAGAAGGUGGACAGGUUGUGCUUUGCAAUCAGCAGAGCCCUGUGGGAGGUGUGCAGCUGGCAAGGUA